rnacentral:rRNA from 1 species
AGAGUUUGAUCCUGGCUCAGGAUGAACGCUAGCUACAGGCUUAACACAUGCAAGUCGAGGGGCAGCAUGGUCUUAGCUUGCUAAGGCCGAUGGCGACCGGCGCACGGGUGAGUAACGCGUAUCCAACCUGCCUUACACUCUUGGACAGCCUUCUGAAAGGGAGAUUAAUACAAGAUGUUAUCAUGAGUAAGCAUUUUCACAUGAUUAAAGGUUUACCGGUGUAAGAUGGGGAUGCGUUCCAUUAGAUAGUAGGCGGGGUAACGGCCCACCUAGUCUUCGAUGGAUAGGGGUUCUGAGAGGAAGGUCCCCCACAUUGGAACUGAGACACGGUCCAAACUCCUACGGGAGGCAGCAGUGAGGAAUAUUGGUCAAUGGACGAGAGUCUGAACCAGCCAAGUAGCGUGAAGGAUGAAGGUUCUAUGGAUUGUAAACUUCUUUUAUACGGGAAUAAACGAAUCCACGUGUGGAUUUUUGCAUGUACCGUAUGAAUAAGGAUCGGCUAACUCCGUGCCAGCAGCCGCGGUAAUACGGAGGAUCCGAGCGUUAUCCGGAUUUAUUGGGUUUAAAGGGAGCGUAGAUGGGUUGUUAAGUCAGUUGUGAAAGUUUGCGGCUCAACCGUAAAAUUGCAAUUGAUACUGGCAGUCUUGAGUACAGUUGAGGUAGGCGGAAUUCGUGGUGUAGCGGUGAAAUGCUUAGAUAUCACGAAGAACUCCGAUUGCGAAGGCAGCUUACUAACCUGUAACUGACAUUGAUGCUCGAAAGUGUGGGUAUCAAACAGGAUUAGAUACCCUGGUAGUCCACACGGUAAACGAUGAAUACUCGCUGUAGGCGAUAUACAGUCUGCGGCCAAGCGAAAGCAUUAAGUAUUCCACCUGGGGAGUACGCCGGCAACGGUGAAACUCAAAGGAAUUGACGGGGGCCCGCACAAGCGGAGGAACAUGUGGUUUAAUUCGAUGAUACGCGAGGAACCUUACCUGGGCUUAAAUUGCAACCGAAUAUGGCGGAAACGCUAUAGCUAGCAAUAGCGGUUGUGAAGGUGCUGCAUGGUUGUCGUCAGCUCGUGCCGUGAGGUGUCGGCUUAAGUGCCAUAACGAGCGCAACCCUUGCCGAUAGUUACUAACAGGUUAUGCUGAGGACUCUGUCGGGACUGCCAUCGUAAGAUGUGAGGAAGGUGGGGAUGACGUCAAAUCAGCACGGCCCUUACGUCCGGGGCUACACACGUGUUACAAUGGGGGGUACAGAGGGCUGCUACCACGCAAGUGGAUGCCAAUCCCAAAAACCUCUCUCAGUUCGGAUUGAAGUCUGCAACCCGACUUCAUGAAGCUGGAUUCGCUAGUAAUCGCGCAUCAGCCACGGCGCGGUGAAUACGUUCCCGGGCCUUGUACACACCGCCCGUCAAGCCAUGGGAGCCGGGGGUACCUGAAGUGCGUAACCGCAAGGAGCGCCCUAGGGUAAAACUGGUGACUGGGGCUAAGUCGUAACAAGGUAGCCG